GUCGAGCGGACAGAUGGGAGCUUGCUCCCUGAUGUUAGCGGCGGACGGGUGAGUAACACGUGGGUAACCUGCCUGUAAGACUGGGAUAACUCCGGGAAACCGGGGCUAAUACCGGAUGCUUGUUUGAACCGCAUGGUUCAAACAUAAAAGGUGGCUUCGGCUACCACUUACAGAUGGACCCGCGGCGCAUUAGCUAGUUGGUGAGGUAAUGGCUCACCAAGGCAACGAUGCGUAGCCGACCUGAGAGGGUGAUCGGCCACACUGGGACUGAGACACGGCCCAGACUCCUACGGGAGGCAGCAGUAGGGAAUCUUCCGCAAUGGACGAAAGUCUGACGGAGCAACGCCGCGUGAGUGAUGAAGGUUUUCGGAUCGUAAAGCUCUGUUGUUAGGGAAGAACAAGUACCGUUCGAAUAGGGCGGUACCUUGACGGUACCUAACCAGAAAGCCACGGCUAACUACGUGCCAGCAGCCGCGGUAAUACGUAGGUGGCAAGCGUUGUCCGGAAUUAUUGGGCGUAAAGGGCUCGCAGGCGGUUCCUUAAGUCUGAUGUGAAAGCCCCCGGCUCAACCGGGGAGGGUCAUUGGAAACUGGGGAACUUGAGUGCAGAAGAGGAGAGUGGAAUUCCACGUGUAGCGGUGAAAUGCGUAGAGAUGUGGAGGAACACCAGUGGCGAAGGCGACUCUCUGGUCUGUAACUGACGCUGAGGAGCGAAAGCGUGGGGAGCGAACAGGAUUAGAUACCCUGGUAGUCCACGCCGUAAACGAUGAGUGCUAAGUGUUAGGGGGUUUCCGCCCCUUAGUGCUGCAGCUAACGCAUUAAGCACUCCGCCUGGGGAGUACGG
rnacentral:rRNA from 1 species